UCCUAUGAUGAGCAACAAUUAUUUCGCUGUGUUCUUACUGAACAUCAUUGAAGAAAAACAAUUUUCACCUUGGAGAACUGAUAU
rfam:Aspergillus oryzae strain BCC7051 OAory_C02, whole genome shotgun sequence.